AAGGUGAUAGUAAUUCAGCGAAUAGAGCUUGUACAGGGCAUAAACACCUCUUUGACCAAUAAUCGAUGUGUAUUGGUUGAAUAACAAAACGACCCUUAUUUAUUGUUACCCUGGCAACCCGCCGUGUUUGAUUGACGUUUGAUUUAAUAAUUCUGAUACAACUCAUAAUUCUAAUCUAAUAGAAACUCCAAAACCUCAGACAAAGAGGACUAGAAUUUUACAUAAAAAGCCGCGUUCUGCAGUACAAAAGUUAGAAGAGGCAUCUCAAAUAGUGGAAAGUGCCAAACUCCGCAACACGGUAAUGUUCCAGUGUUUCCAGGAAGAGCACGAAACAAAACAAAGGCAGAUGGCUGAAACACAUGAGCUCAAACAGAAGCAACUUGCCGAAGCUCAGGAAAGGGCUAGACAGAAGCAUCUUCUAAGGCUCAAAUUGUUACAGCAGCAAUUAAAUAAAUAAUUAUAUACUUAUAAAAAAAAUAAAACCCCUGUUUUAAAUGAAAUAUAACUUUUUAUUUAUUUCAAGUCCUUAACUAUCCACACCUAUGUAAAUAAAACAGCCUUAAAAAUAUGUUUCAAUAAAAGCAGCUCUAGCAGCUUGUCCAGCCAGAUUGCUUGGGGGCGUCUAGGUCUUCGUAACAUCCAGGUCU